UUAACUGAAGCCAAAGAGAGGCAUGCCACUGUUAAUGGUAUUAAUGAAUUUUGUAAUUCCAGUUAAA
rnacentral:tRNA from 1 species